CCUACGGGAGGCUGCAGUGGGGAAUAUUGCACAAUGGGCGAAAGCCUGACGCAGCGACGCCGCGUGAGCGAUGAAGGCCUUCGGGUCGUAAAGCUCUGUCCUAAGGGAAGAAGAAGGACGGUACGUUAUGAGGGAACCUCGGCUAACUAGGGGCCAGAAGCCGCGGUAAACCGUGGGGGGCGAGCUUGUGCAGGACUUACGGGGCAAAAAGGGGGCGGAGGCGGCUUUUUAAGUCCGGGGGGAAAGGUUUCGGCUCAACCGAAGUGAGCACUGGAAACUGGAGGGCUUGAGUGCAGGAGAGGAGAGCGGAAUUCCUAGUGUAGCGGUGAAAUGCGUAGAUAUGAGGAGGAACACCAGUGGCGAAGGCGGCUUUCUGGACUGUAACUGACGCUGAGGCGCGAAAGCGUGGGGAGCAAACAGGAUUAGAUACCCUAGUAGUC
rnacentral:rRNA from 1 species